rnacentral:lncRNA from 1 species
CAUAUUUCAAAACUGGUGUAAAAGCUAUUAUAAUAGAGUUGUAAAAUCAGAAACCUCGAUAGCGGUUUGACGUUUGCCGUAAACGUCAAUCUAAAGGUCUCUAAUAAACACUUUUUAACCAACCUGAAGCAUGCUUCUGUUUUAACUUAUUUAGAGGCCGGCUGCUCGAGAUCUCUUGAAACACAAAUUUGUUAUCAAAAUGGCGAAAAAGCCGUCGUAUUUAAUUGAAUAUAUUGAUAAAUAUAAAAGGUGGAGGGAAACGCAUCGCGAUGAAGAUGAGAAUGGUGAUAGUUCUGGCGAAGAAAA